UGUAUUUUUUGACAUAUUUACAUUUUAAAAUUAUUAGUAGACUGCUUGGUAAAUAAAGUGAUGGCAUUAUUACUUCAUUGCAAUAAAGUCUGCCGUUCAAAAUCCAAACUAAAUAGUUUUAACCCACAAACUUGUCUAUUUGACAAAAUUAAGACGUAUUCAUUUGAAACAUAAUUAGUAAGAUCAAAUUAAAGUAAAACUGUUUAAAAUAUUAUAUAAUAAUUUCAUUUUAUCAUGUAACAGCCGGUUAUAUUCCAAAUACUUCUGUUGUUUGUGCAUUUCAGAAAUUAGCUUGGAUGACAACGUAGAGGUUUAUUUUUGUUAGUUUUAUUAUUUAAAAUACAUCUAUAAAACUAAAACAGGAAAUCCUUAGCAUCUUGCUUUAAAAUGAGCAUUGAUAAAAUGUACUUUUAUAUGCAACACCAAUAGAUUCAGUUAUUCUAGCUGGUUUUUGUCGUUUGGUAACACUUUAUUUUGAAGGCAGAAAGUCUAAUUUCCGGUUUUGCUCUGAUUCUGUCUUGUAACAUCUUUUUUCAAUCUUUUACAGCUGGUUCCCGCUUCCUGAAGCAUAAAUUACUUUUAUUCUGUUUCAGUUUAAUUUCAAAUAUUAGAUUAACACAACCAAUGUUUAAAAAUCCAAAACAGAAAUAUAUUUUCUUGUCAAAACACACUGUAGGCAUGGAAAAGAUGUUAGUUUAGCCACAAUAAAACCACUAAUCAGUGAUGCUGAGUGCAUAAAAUGGCUUCAGUUUGCAAGAAAGUGUGGAAAAAGUCAUGCGGUCCAGAUUUACCCUCUUCCACACUGAUGGGCACAUCAGGAUUAGAAGAAAGGCUGAUAGUGUAGCUGCCUGUGGGGUCAACGCUAUGACCUGAGGUUUCUACAGCUGGUCAGGUCAAAGUUCAACAACAUCAUGAGGUCAGCAGGCUACCUGAAAGUGUUAAACGACUUCAUUUAUUUCAUUAAUUUCAUAAAUAGAUUGUUUCUUCACUGAUGACAUGGAGAUAUUCCAAGAUGCAGGCUCCUUUUUGACCUGGCCAGGUAUUUCCUGCCAGGUCUUUCAGGAAGAAAACAUAACCAAAAUAAACAUUGGGAAACGUUGUUGCUGCUCUGUGAGUUGCAUCAGAGUACACAUUGAUGAAUGAAUAUUACACAGUGGAGCAACACAGAAUCUACAGCGAAACAUAAACAGGUUAAUUAUGAUAAACAGCAGAAAACUAGCUUGUCUUUUCUCAAGCUAACAAUUAAGGAAACGUAGAGCAACACCAGAGAUGUUUGCUCUCUUGGUUGCUGAUUCUCCAGCUUAAUGUAACUUUAAAACUUUUAUUCAGAAAAAAGAUCCAUCAAAUAUUCAGGUUCUGCAAUUUAAUGUUCUGGAGUUCUUCAGGGCCCGACUCUCGGCUCUCUUUGAUAUCCAUUGCUUUGUGGUUGACACAAUAACAUGUUUCAGGCUGAUUCUUGUCUCAUUCAGUUCAAGUCUUAAUUGUGAUUUUAAUCAUGAAUCUUUCAAUAGCUCCCUGGUUGAGCGAGUUUACUAAGUGGAGUUCCUCAGGGCGGUAAUCUCGGCUCUCUGUUAUAUUUCAGUGUUUGGUAUGUUCUACUCCUGUCAGUUAAAGUCUUAAUUAUGAUUUUGAUUGUUAAACUUUAACUCAACACAUACAAAAAAGACGAGACAUUCAAUAAUUUCAAGAAUUUAACAAAUCUACCGACGAUGCUAAUUCUUUAUCAAGUUAGACAAACAAUAUAAUGAUACAAUAAUAAACAUUUCUCUAAACAGUUACCGCUAUAAAAAGUGUUUUCUUUUCUGAUGGUGAUGGCUGGCAGAAACUGUGAAGUUACAUAACAAAAAUUUUGAAUUUUAUUGAAAAUUUGUUUAUUACUGAGCAGUUAGACUUUAGAAAAUAAAAUACCACAUCAAAUUCAUUUUUGCAGUUUACAUUUAAUAAAUUUUGUGCCUCACAAGUAGUUUAAAUUGACCAGUUUUUCCGUCAGGUGCAUUAAUGUUUAUACAGCACAGAUAAAGUCUUAAUUGUGAUUCUGAUCACUAAUUUUUCACUCUACACAUAGAAACAUAUAUAAAAGAUAAAUUCAAUUAAAAAUCUGAAAUGUUUUGACAGAAGUUGUAAUUAAAGCUUCUUAACGCAACAAAAUAAUGCAAACUACCAUUUCUCUUAACAGUUACGGCAAUUAAAAUUUGUGUUUUAUUUACAUAUCUAUUAUUUUCCUCACCAUUUUGAGAUGAUGACUGGGCAGAAACUGUGAAAUAAUUGUUCUUCCUGUUUGCAGUUUGUGUCACACUGACAACAAAAAGAACCGAAAAUGACGUGGCGAUCUGUGUGUGGGUGUCACAGCGUAGCCGUGAUGCUAACGCCUCGACGGUUUCAGUUACUGAAACUGAUCUUCAAAAAGCCAGCAGAUCUGCAGGAUGUCCAGCCAGCCGAAGCCCCGCAGGACGAGGCGUUUUCUACUGUGAAGCCACACCCAAACAGGAAGGAGUCACCGAGAAUAGAGCGGCCCUCCACCCAACCAGCUUCCCUUUCGCUGACACACACUUCCUCUAAGUCUGUUUGUUUGCUUCAUGUAAAGUUCUGCUCAUUUUUCACCCAAAACUGCGAAAAAUAAACAACCUGGACCCAACAAUAGAGGAGAUUUCAACUCCUUGCUGUUAAAUUGUGACAUUUGGUCAUUUUGAUCUUGUUUUUUUCCCCAAAUUAAAUUAUUCUGCUCCCUCCCACACAGCUCUCACCUUUUCUACAGGCGGCCCAUCAGAGCAGAAUAAAUUACCGAGCUUCAAAGAGCCAAUCAGAGGCGCAAGCAGCCGAACGAGAAGAAAGUCAUCUGAUGGAAAAACCCAUCUUCAGGUGAACGUCGCGCCAGGUAAGAAGCUGAGUUUUACUCUCAGGAAAUGUCUCAGGUUAAACUCAGCAUUGAGGUGAACUUUGGCUCCCUCUGCUGCUGCGGAAACGGAGCAGAAAGAGCGCCAUGUGUCCAGAAUAAAAAAUACUGAUUAAAAUCACCACAAAGGUCAUUUUUUAUCUACUUGACAAUAAACUCAGCAUAAUCUAUUUUAACUAAAUAAAUUAUCAGUCAGUGGACAAACCUAAAAGCUUGGAAAAGAUUAUUACUUUGUGUGGAUUCUACUAUUUUACCUUUAAAACACCAAAAUAUUUUCUUCUGAAAAAACAGCCAUCAAAUAUCGAUGUUCCGGAGUUCCUCAGGGCACUAACCUCGGCUCACUGUUACAGUAGGUUCAUUGCUUUGUGGAUGACAGCAACAUAUUUCAGUCUAAUCCUAGUUUUAUUUGCUUGGUAUUGUUCUACAGAAAGGAGGAUUUUGUGAUUUAAAAGUUGUAGUUUUGUGCCGAUUAAUUCUGGUGCCCUCAGUCAGCCCCCUGACCCCACUUUGAACACCCUUACUUAAUAAAUGUGUGACCGAAUUGUUAAUUUCUCAACUUUGUAUCAAGUUUCCAGGAUCAGUUUCAGAUUUGCCUGAAUCCUGUUUGUGACUAGCAGUUCAGUGGAAACAUUCCAAAAAUGAAGGAAGUGAUCUAAUUUAGCAGCUCAUGCUGACACACGCUGGGAUUUCCUCACCUUGGCGAAGCAGGAUGACUUCCAGUUUCAACAUGAAAACAUUUCCCAAUAUCUCCUCCCUCGAUCUUCACCUCAGGUCAGAAACGAAUCCUGUGUGAGGACAUUAGUUCCUCCCGAAAGCAGAACUAGAUCACAGUGCUGUUAAUGUUGUACACAACUCAAAAUGUGCACUUUAAGUUUAAUAAUUAUAGUAACUUUUGAUCAGUGUUUUAAAAUGUAAAGUCAUAAAAUGCAUUUUCAUGAAAUACACAUGCAAUAUUUCCACAAAUAUUGUUUUCUGGUCGAUAGGUUACAAGCUACACGCUUUUUGAAUUAACUUCCUGUAAUAAUCAAAUGAUUCAUUGAAGAAAAAGUUACUUUUGUGGAUAUAAGCAAUUUUUACUGCUGAACUUAAGGCAUUUAUUUAUAUAAAUGUUCUUUGGGGUUCAGCCAAUCAGCGUUAAGGAAAAUAAAUUAGCUUGAUUGGCACAUCAGCUAUUAGCAUGUCAUGUAGCAUUGCGGCUACGUAUUUAGCUUCCCAAGCUGCAUUUUAAAAAAUAUUUCAGGUAUGAAACAUGAAAAAACUGCAAAUAUUUUAAUUUUUCACUUGAAGUUCUGCUAAUAAUUUUGACCUGCUAAAGUACCGACAUGAAGAUUUUUAUUCAUAAACUCGCUUUGCUUUUUGACGUCUAUGGAGCUAAAAUAAAUGUUUAUCUUCCAACACCGACGUCUCACUGCUAUUUUAAUCAGAUAUUCUCUCCGAGGUGUUUAGAAAUUAAUAUUUGGAAUACUUUUUAUUUGAUAAAGUAACAGAUUGCUAAAAAAUAAAAAUUUAAAAAGCCAAAUAAGAUUCCAUAGUCUCCUUUUUCCCUACAUGUGAUGCAGCCGCCAGUGUUUUAUUGCUACAUAAGUGGCUCAUUAAUGCGUGUUUAUUUAUGUAAUCUGAUUCAAACACAAAUAAAGCAGUCGGAGUACGUAGGCAGGCAGAAAUGGACCUUUUUUUUAUUUUUCUCGGGUGAUAAACAACAGUGGAUUGUCCUGACCAGACCAAACCGGAUUAAACCGGUCUAGGCCAGACUAAAAUAAGCGAGACACAGUAGAACCAAAAUCCAACCACAGCUUACCAGACCGAACCCGCCGGAACCGGUCCAAGGCAGCUGAACUCCCAGAACAGCCAACAGAAAAUCGAUACUUUGUUUUACUCUAUGUAACCAUGGCAACAGCCAGCAUGGUCCAGUCGGGUCUGGUCAGAAGUAACCUGGUCCGGUAAUCUCUCCUCUUUCUUGCUUCCUUCCCUCCUUGGAUUGAAGAAGUCAAGGGCACGUCUACUUAAUCAGAAGAACAACGGAGAAGCUGAUUGGUCCACAAACAGUAAAACCCCGCCCAUCAGUUCUCUCCCCCUCCCAUUGGUUGCCUAUAUCAUUUGCAAGGAUUAGGGCGGGCCUUUCUCCCAUUGGUCGCCACAGCCUGAGGCAGAAAAGGCUGUUUCUCGUAUAUUUUCCUCCUAUUGGUCCAUUCAAAUAACUCGCUAACUGUCAGUCACUCAGCAGCGGCCAAUCAGGUUACAGUACCUGCAGAACUUUCUGGAAUUAUGUAGAAAAAAGAAAAAAAAAAA